rnacentral:lncRNA from 1 species
CCGUCUAAGAAAAUAUUGUCGGUUGUGAAACUAAAAAACAAUAUCCCUGGAAAUCGUAAUAAAAUAUAAGAUAUGCUCUGCAAAUAUUAGCAGUGGUAGAUCUUAAAAGGAGGUGGGCAUAAUCAAAUAUAAGAUAUGCUCUACACAUAUUAGCCGUCCACAUGGUGGAUCUUAAAAGGAGGUGGAGAAGCCGUGGCAAUCCUAUCGUUAAAUUCAUCGCUUCCGACAGUUCUUCCUCAAGAACAGAGACAAGGAGUAGUGUUAUUGAUGAUUAAGGAGGGUUUUUUUGUUCUGUAUCAUUUGUUAUGUUUAAGGAGUAGUGUUAUUGAUGAUUAAGGAGGGUUUGUUUAUUCUGUAUCAUUUGUUAUGUUUAAGGUGAUCAUUGUGUAUACUCUUAAAUGUAAAUGGUGGUAAUUUAGACUUGAAACAGCUUCUUUCAAGGUAAAGUAUAGAACCUUUGGUUUGGGUAGUGUAGAGAUGUUUUAGUUUCUUUUGGUUGGUUGGGGUAGUGUAGGGAUGUUCUAGUCUUUUUAUUAGUUGUUUUGAGAUACUAAUAUAAAGUGUUGGAAGGUGUUUUGAGAUACUAA